UACGUAGGGGGCGAGCGUUGUCCGGAAUUAUUGGGCGUAAAGAGCUUGUAGGCGGCUUGUCACGUCUGCUGUGAAAUCACGGGGCUUAACCCCGGGCUUGCAGUGGGUACGGGCAGGAUAGAGUGUGGUAGGGGAGACUGGAAUUCCUGGUGUAGCGGUGGAAUGCGCAGAUAUCAGGAGGAACACCGAUAGCGAAGGCAGGUCUCUGGGCCAUUACUGACGCUGAGAAGCGAAAGCGUGGGGAGCGAACAGG
rnacentral:rRNA from 1 species